rnacentral:rRNA from 1 species
ACUCCUACGGGAGGCAGCAGUGAGGAAUAUUGGUCAAUGGAGGCAACUCUGAACCAGCCAAGUAGCGUGCAGGAUGACGGCCCUAUGGGUUGUAAACUGCUUUUAUUCGGGGAUAAACGAGCCUACGCGUAGGUUCUUGCAGGUACCGCAUGAAUAAGGACCGGCUAAUUCCGUGCCAGCAGCCGCGGUAAUAC